rnacentral:rRNA from 1 species
UAAUACGUAGGCAGCAAGCGUUGUUCGGAAUUACUGGGCGUAAAGAGUUCGUAGGCGGUGCGGCAAGUUCGGUGUGAAAUCUCCCGGCUCAACUGGGAGGGUGCGCUAAAUACUGCCGUGCUCGAGUAUAGGAGAGGUAAGCGGAAUUCCUGGUGUAGCGGUGAAAUGCGUAGAUAUCAGGAGGAACACCUGUGGUGUAGACGGCUUACUGGACUAUAACUGACGCUGAGGAACGAAAGCGUGGGUAGCAAACAGGAUUAGAUACCCUGGUAGUCCACGCCCUAAACGAUGCAUACUUGGUGUGAGCCAUUCACUUGGUUCGUGCCGUAGCUAACGCGUUAAGUAUGCCGCCUGGGGAGUACGGUCGCAAGGCUG